GUGAACAGCCAUCAGGAAAACAGGCUGGAUCUCCUCAGAGCUGCAGUGAUGCCAUUUUAUUGACUUAGUGAGCAGCUGGAAGUGCAGGAAUGCUAAUAAAUCCCAACAUGAUCCUCUAGCACAGAGUGCAGGAAGAACAUAAAGUCAAGAUCCAGCAUAUCAUGUCAUUCAUGCGGAUUUCGUGUAGAAUUUGAGCAGCUGAGCCUCCUCCCUGCAUCUGGUGCAGACGGAGCCCAGAGGAACAACCAGAAGUGCUGGGAAUGGACUAGAGGCAUAGUGCUGAGUCUUUGGAGUGCAAGGUAAUGAAAGAUUUACUAAUAUUUACUUGGGAAUAUACAUAGUUUGUCAGAAUGCAAAGAGCACUUCGCGUGGCGCCGUUGCUUUUAUGGCCACAGCAACGUCAUGCUCUACAAAGAAGAACCUGGAUGGUUCUUCCAUUCCUGCAAGGAACACAAAAGCAAACAAUCCAAAUCCAGUGUUUUAAUGACUGCUAGCCACUGAUGGAGGUCGAGGCUUCCAUAGCAAUGGGGCAGAUUUCGGAAGAUAUUUGAGAGGUUUGAUUAAGUUGUGCGGAAUAGAUUGGCCAGCUGCACGGUUUGUAAAACGCCUGCGUUGCCUGAGAAGGUGGGACAGUACCUAGUUUAAAUAACUUUGCACAAGGCUUUUGUCAUGCACGGAACAGUAGCACCUGGCCUUUUGAAGUCACGCUUAAAUUUCCAGACAAAGGUAAACAAAUCUUUCUGAUGGCACAGAUCCACCCUGAAAGGACUGGAGUUGUGGAUACAAGACAGACUAACCAGAGAAAUAGAGAGUUUAGUCUCCCACUAAACAAAAUCUUAUAGGUUGAUGAUGUGGUGUAAACACAUGAAAUGCCUAUGGAACAAUAUAAAACACUGAGGCUUAAUGGCUUAAUUAAGCACACUACUCAUACAUUGCCAGGCUUCAA